UCCAGGCUAGAAGGAUCCUAUGUUAGAAGUGUUGUUUGGUAGUAGGGAGAAAGCAAUGGUUGUUAAAACCAGUCAGAGGUUUUUGGAAGAGCAGAUUUUGGUGGGGAAUAUCCAGGGUACAUUGGACAUUCCCUUUCCCACUGCAGAUCCUGAAUGGGAUCCUAACAUCCCUAUUUUUAGAGAAAGGUUCAAUAGAUACCUGCAGUGGAUGUUGUCUGCAAUGAAACAUGCCAGGCCAAAGGCAAUGAACACGUCAAAAUUCUCUGCAAUGAAGCAGGAUCACAGGGAAUAGCCUACUGAAUUUUUAAAUCCUCUGGAAGAAACAGCACAAAAAUAUACUAAUAUCCAUCCUGGAACACAGGGGGGAAGGACUCAACUGGCCCCCAUAUUUGUGGGGCAGUCCUCAGAUGUGGUUAGGAGGGAAUGACAAAAAGCUGAGGGACAAGAUCAGUCUAAUUUGGGGACACUGUUGGAGGUUGGGAGAAUCAGCAGGAAUCAACUCAGCAGGAAGGAGUUGCAGUUCUGGAAGAAAUCCCUGAGGAAAUGGUGCCCCCGGGGAGAGGAAGAGGAUGAGAGCAUGGGCAGCCUGCUUCAAACACCCCCCCCCAGGAGACUUGGGAUCAAUCCCUGUGCAUCCUGUAAGAAAGAUGGACACUGGAAAUGGGAUUGUCCACAACUGAAACUUCAGAACCCUCCCAACCCUCUCCUGGCAUCACUGCAGACGACUGAGGGGGCACCAGAGGAUUCUUCCCCAUCAGAACAUCUGGUUCCAGCCAAGCUAAGUACAAUUGGUUGUGGCUGUGGGAACUUGUUCCCCUGUCUUAAAUAAGGGAAAAUGAAACUCAAGUCACAAUUCUGGAACAAUUGUCUGGUGUGCCAGGGAAUUGGGAAACUGGGCCAUUUUUAAUGCUGUGGAUUUGAAAUUGGGAAAACAGUGGUUGGCUCCCCAGUGUUUGUAUUUCCCCAAUUCCCCAAAGCCUCUGCCUGGGAGAGAUCUCUUGGCAAAAUUAAAUGCCACAAUCCAAUUUAAAAAUGGUCAAAUAUAGGUUAUUAUUGCAGAGCCUAAUUCUGUGGAAGGUUCUAGUUUUGCAUGAGAGUCUCCAAAAGCAGAACUAAUCCAUCUGCCAACGUCACUUGGGGAUGCAGUGAUUCCAGUAGGAUGGGCUGGAGAGGUGCCUCCAUGAUCCAAAAGAGCAGAACCUGUGAGAAUUCCAGUGAAACCUGGAGUGGGGUUGGUCAGGCCAAAGCAAUAGCCUUUGAAAAUGGAAAGUUGUGAGGGAUUCUCACUCUCUGUAGAAAAACUGAUGAAAUUUUGCUUGUUAAAAGAAUGUGAAUCUAAAUGUAAUGCUCCAAUUUUGCCAGUCAAGCAGGCAAAUGGAAGGCUAUGCCAGUUAGUCCAAGACCUCAGAGCUAUAAAUGAUAGAGUAGAAGAUAUACAAGCAGUUGUAGCGAAUCCUUACACUUUGCUAACUCCCCUAAAUGAAAGUUUAAUGUUUCACAGGAUUAGAUUUGAAAGCUGCCUUUUUCUGUCUCCCUUUGAGUUGUGAAAGUCAAGAGCUUUUUGCUUUCAGAUGGGAAAAUCCAAAGACAGGGAGGAAAACCCAGCUGACUUUGGUGGUCCUCCUGCAGGGGUUUAAAAAUAUCCCCCCAGUAUUUGGAACUCAAUUGGCAAAGGAACUGGAGGAAUGGAAAAGUCAAAACCCUCUUGGAGCCUUGUUCCAGUGUGUGGAUAUUUUGACAGCCACUGAUGCUGAGCAGCAAUGUUGGGAUCAGACACUAUGGAAUUUCCUUGGACUGGGUGGAUAUGGGGUGUCCCAAACACAAAGUGCAAGUAGUCCAGACCCCAGGAGCCUCCCUGGGCUUUGGAAUUCUCCAAGGACAAGGGAGGCUGGGCCAGGAACAAAAGAAGCAACCUGUCAACUGCCCCAGCCCCAGCAAAGGAAGCCCAGAGCGGGAUUGCUUCCAGACUAGAGGAGAAGUGUAUUUGGGCAGAGCUGACUCAGGAGACAGCCCCUGGGAAAGUCCUGGUUGGGAAUUGUUUCCCAGUGGGGGCAGCUUUGUCCAGCAUGGAAAACAAUUCUCUGGAUGCACAGGAACUCCCCCCAGCAGGUCAUGGAAUUGGGGGCACUCCUCUGCAGUGCCUCAGCCCAGAAAGCAGAACCAAUUGUGCUCACUCCAGCUUUGGGAUUGAGUCAAGGAGAACAAGUUAAUCCUUGGACUUGCUUGAAGAUCUCCAGAAACCAACAGAGGCUGCUGUCCUGCAUUGCAGAGUGCACCAAGAGGGGGAGACCAAAGCAGAACUGGGGAAUCAUUUGGCCCAUAAUUCUUCCAAAGAGGCUGCAGAAAAAGGCACUUUAGAGAGUAAAGUUUUGUCUUUAAUAACCCUGACAGAGAUACCUCUCCCAGUAGAAA